rnacentral:rRNA from 1 species
AGUGAACGCUGGCGGUAGGCCUAACACAUGCAAGUCGAACGGCAGCACAGUAAGAGCUUGCUCUUACGGGUGGCGAGUGGCGGACGGGUGAGGAAUACAUCGGAAUCUACUUUUUCGUGGGGGAUAACGUAGGGAAACUUACGCUAAUACCGCAUACGACCUACGGGUGAAAGCAGGGGAUCUUCGGACCUUGCGCGAUUGAAUGAGCCGAUGUCGGAUUAGCUAGUUGGCGGGGUAAAGGCCCACCAAGGCGACGAUCCGUAGCUGGUCUGAGAGGAUGAUCAGCCACACUGGAACUGAGACACGGUCCAGACUCCUACGGGAGGCAGCAGUGGGGAAUAUUGGACAAAGGGCGCAAGCCUGAUCCAGCCAUACCGCGUGGGUGAAGAAGGCCUUCGGGUUGUAAAGCCCUUUUGUUGGGAAAGAAAAGCAGCAGGUUAAUACCGCGCUGUUCUGACGGUACCCAAAGAAUAAGCACCGGCUAACUUCGUG